AUUUGAAUGUUAGCUCGGAAAUAGAAUUCCACAUGAGAGAUCCACAUUCUGCUUUGUUCUUGGAUUCAUAUGCUUCAACUUCUUCUCUCUUCCUUGUCUCGUCUCCCCUUUUCGUUGGCUCGCAGGAAAUCCCAAACCAUUCUCAGCAGGUUCAGGCCAUUGUGUACUAUUCCUCUCCAGAAACCAAAAUGGAUCUCCAACACCGCUCUGAUCAUUACAAAUCCACUUCUCUUAACCCUUGAAUCUUGCAAUUCAAUGUCAGAAUUGAAGCAAAUCCAGGCCCAGAUGACUCGAACUGGCCUCAUAACUCACAUUUUCCCGGUUAGCCGGGUUUUAUCCUUCUGUGCUCUCUCCGAUUCGGGGGACCUCAACCAUGCCCGUAUCAUCUUUACCCAAAUUGCAGAACCCAAUAUUUAUAUGUGGAAUACCAUGAUCAGGGGUUACUGUAAAGCGAAGAGUCCUGACUUGGGUUUCUUUCUGUUUCGCCGUAUGGUCAGAGAACAAGUUGACAUGGACAGUCGGACAUUUGUCUUUGUACUGAAGGCUUGUGAACAGUUCCAGGGAGUUAUGGAGGGUGAAGAGCUCCAUUGCUUGAUCUACAAGAUGGGUUGUGAUGCCGAUUUGCUGAUUGGAAAUGGGCUUAUGCAUUUGUAUGCAAAACGUGGGUAUCUGGGCACUGCCCGUCUUUUGUUCGACGCAAAUCUUGAGAGGGAUGUUGUUUCUUGGACUACAAUGAUUAAUGGAUACGCCCAGAAUAACCUUCCAGAUGAGGCUUUGAAGCUAUUUAAUUUGAUGUUGCCUAGUGCUGCUACACCCAAUGACGUUACUAUGGUGGUUGUGCUCUCCGCUUGCUCACAGGCAGGGGAUUUGAGCCUGGGUAAAUCAAUUCAUCGUUAUAUAGAGAAGAAAAAUGUGGAUUGCAGCCUGAAUUUGAUGAAUGCAUUGAUGGAUAUGUAUGUUAAAUGCGGUUGCUUGGCAUCUGCGAAAGAAAUCUUUGACAGGAUGGAAGCUCGUGAUGUUUUCUCGUGGACCACUAUGAUUAAUGGCUAUGCCAGAGAUGGUAGUUUAGAGUAUGCAAGGAAGUUUUUUGAUGAGAUACCUGAGAGGAAUGUUGUAUCUUGGAAUGCAAUGAUUUCUGGUUAUUCACAGAGAAAUCAACCAGAGAAAGCAUUGGAACUGUUCCAUGAGAUGGAGAAAGCGCAUGUGGCGCCUAUAGAGAGUACUCUAGUUUGUGUGCUUUCUGCCUGUGGUCAAUCUGGUUGCUUGGAUCUUGGUCAGUGGAUUCAUUAUCACUAUGUUGAUCAGAAAAGAGUUAAACUUAGUGCAAUUAUGGCUAAUGCAUUAAUAGACAUGUAUGCUAAAUGUGGGAAUAUUGAUGCGGCUGCAAAAGUUUUCAACAUGAUGCCAGAAAGGGAUUUGGUAUCAUGGAAUUCGAUGAUUGUUGGGUAUGCAGUUCAUGGAUACGCUGGGCAGGCCCUUAGACUCUUUGAUGAAAUGAGUAAGGAAAUUGUGCCUGAUGAUAUCACAUUUGUGGGUGUCUUAUCAGCUUGUAGUCAUGGUGGGCUGGACAUCCAAGGGAAGGAGUACUUUGGGAACAUGAGAGGAGUAUUUGGUAUAGAGCCAAAGGCAGAACAUUAUGCAUGCAUGAUUGAUCUACUUGGCCGAGUUGGGCUUCUGGAAGAGGCGAAUAAGUUGAUAAAGGGAAUGCCCAUGGAGCCAGAUGAAGCUGCUUGGGGUGCUCUUCUGAAUGCGUGUAGAAUGCAUGGGAAUGUGGAGUUGGGUAAACUUGCAGCCGAUAAACUUCUGCACCUGGACCCUAAAGAUAGUGGGAUCUAUGCACUACUAGCAAAUAUGUAUGCUGGUAGAAGAAGAUGGGAUGAUGUGAGGAUGGUGAGAAGUAUGAUGAGAGACAGGGGUAUAAAGAAGACUCCUGGGAAUAGCUUGAUAGAAGUGGAUGGAAAAAUUCAUGAAUUUUUGGUUGCUGACAAGUCACAUCCCCAAUCUGAGGAGAUAUAUAACAUAUUGGAUGAAAUACUACUGUUGUUAAAGUCAGAAGGCUAUGUACCAAAUACAUCACAAUUAUUGGGCCUACCUGAGGUUAGUGAUGCUGUCUUUCCAACUGCUUGACCAAGCUGCUGUCCACUGUAGUGAUUUGGAUCUCCAUGUCCUCCCCAUCAGCCAUUCCUGCUGAGGAUGGACUAUUGAAGAGAAUUUUUAGGCAAAGACAAAGGCUCAUUUCACACUUCAAUACACGCAUAGACUGGUACAAACAGGCCGAAAGAUGGCGCAGCAAAAGAAAAUCAUGGCAAUGAAAGUUGCUGAAGAUAUAAAGGGGGGAUGUAAAACUAUUUUUCUGACCGUCUAGAUUGCAAACUGGUCAAUAGCCCACAUUGGAUUACAGUUCUCCAAAGGUCUGAUUGGUAAUCUGCCUGAAAGUCCUGAAAAUCUAAGUUUUGUCCUUCGUGGAAUUAGUCCCCUGCUGAGAUGGCAAAACCCACAUGUAGCUGUCAAUCCUAACGUGUUUAUUAAUGCUGAUCUUUACCUAUAAAAGACAAAGAUCUACACUUGAAAUAUUAGAGGCCAUGAAGGAGGAGGAAGUUCCAUAUUAUGGAGGAAAUAAAUUGAAGCUACUUUGAAGGUCUUUUUGGUUCAAUAUUCAGUUCACUUGGUUGAUUACCACUGUCUAAUGGAGAUUUUCUUUAGGACUGCUUCCUAUAUCUUCCUAACCAUCCUAACAAAUAGAGAGAUCAGAUGGUUCUGGUCAUCUGAAGCAACCAAAAAGAAAACAAAUGAGCUUACAUUUGAUCAGGUUGAUUUUCUACCUAGGACAUCUUGGUGAUACUCAUGCUUUCUGCAUCAUUUUUUGUGGAGCAGGUAAAAAAAGAAGACAGAAUUAGCCCUGGUCAUAUGCUACAACUAGGAUUUCUAACAUUUGUUCAUGCUCACAAAGAAUUUAUAAAUAAAGAAAGUUUCUGGAGAUUGUAUAAAUAUAGAAACUUUUGAGAUGUCCUAGAGAGAUCAGAUGGUUCUGGUAAUCUGAAGCAACCUAAAAGAAAACAAAUGAGCUUACAUUUGAUCAGGUUGAUUUUCGACCUAGGACAUCUUGGUGAUACUCAUGCUUUCUGCAUCAUUUUUUUUGUGGAGCAGGUACGAAAAGAAGACAGAAUUAGCCCUGGUCAUAUGCUACAACUAGGAUUUCUAACAUUUGUUCAUGCUCACAAAGAAUUUAUAAAUAAAGAAAGUUUAUGGAGAAUGUAUAAAUAUAGAAAUGUUUGAGAAAGGAAUUGAUGUUAUCUGUGUAUGCCAUUUCUGGCUCAGGAGUCGCCUUAAUUGUCCUUCAGCAGAAUGAAGGGAAUGGUCGAGGGAGAGGUACAAGGAGAUUGGACUUAUGCCCAGGCGAAGUUCAAAGACUUUUACCGAAAUCAUCCAAAAAAUGGGGCUUUCAUCAGGAACAGCAGUUGGAAAAUAAAAGAACAAGAAUUGAGGGAA